rnacentral:rRNA from 1 species
GUUGGGAGCUCUCCCAUAUGGUCGACCUGCAGGCGGCCGCGAAUUCACUAGUGAUUCGUAUUACCGCGGCUGCUGGCACGAAGUUAGCCGGGGCUUCUUCUCCGGAACCGUCAUUAUCUUCUCCGGUGAAAGAGCUUUACAACCCUAGGGCCUUCAUCACUCACGCGGCAUGGCUGGAUCAGGCUUGCGCCCAUUGUCCAAUAUUCCCCACUGCUGCCUCCCGUAGGAGUUUGGGCCGUGUCUCAGUCCCAAUGUGGCUGAUCAUCCUCUCAGACCAGCUACUGAUCGUCGCCUUGGUGAGCCAUUACCUCACCAACUAGCUAAUCAGACGCGGGCCGAUCUUUCGGCGAUAAAUCUUUCCCCGUAAGGGCUUAUCCGGUAUUAGCUCAAGUUUCCCUGAGUUAUUCCGAACCGAAGGGCGCGUUCCCACGUGUUACUCUCCCGUCUGCCGCUGCCGUAUUGCUACGGCCGCUCGACUUGCAUGUGUUAGGCCUGCCGCCAGCGUUCGCUCUGAGCCAGGAUCAAACUCUAAUCGAAUUCCCGCGGCCGCCAUG